AUUGAACGCUGGCGGCAUGCUUUACACAUGCAAGUCGAACGGUAACAGGCCGCAAGGUGCUGACGAGUGGCGAACGGGUGAGUAAUGCACCGGAACGUGCCCAGUCGUGGGGGAUAACGCAGCGAAAGCUGUGCUAAUACCGCAUACGAUCUAUGGAUGAAAGCGGGGGACCGUAAGGCCUCGCGCGAUUGGAGCGGCCGAUGUCAGAUUAGGUAGUUGGUGGGGUAAAGGCCUACCAAGCCGACGAUCUGUAGCUGGUCUGAGAGGACGACCAGCCACACUGGGACUGAGACACGGCCCAGACUCCUACGGGAGGCAGCAGUGGGGAAUUUUGGACAAUGGGCGCAAGCCUGAUCCAGCAAUGCCGCGUGCGGGAAGAAGGCCUUCGGGUUGUAAACUGCUUUUGUACGGAACGAAACGGUCUGGGUUAAUACCCUGGGCUAAUGACGGUACCGUAAGAAUAAGCACCGGCUAACUACGUGCCAGCAGCCGCCGUAAGAC
rnacentral:rRNA from 1 species